rnacentral:tmRNA from 1 species
GGGGGCGUACUGGUUUCGACUAGGUAGCCAUUUCAGCGGCGGCAUGCCGAGGACGGUUCGUUGGCCUCGUAAAAAAUCGAACCAAAAUGUAAUCGCUAACGAAGAAUUAGCCCUCGCGGCCUAAGGCUGCGACGUUCACCGGCGGACACCUGCUAAACUGGAUGAACGCAACAGCAGGUUAGGCGAAACGCGGAGACUGCGCGUGUGACGCUGAAAUAAUCUCAUGCAGACUAAGCCUACGGAUUCGAGUCAGGACGUUAUCCGGCGGCUGAAACUCGCUCCUGACUAAGCAUGUAGUCGCUUCUGGUUUGAUUGCCAAGGACGCGGGUUCAACUCCCGCCGCCUCCACCA